GAGGUUGUAGCUCAGUGGUAGAGCACUUGCCUAGCAUGUGUGAGAUACUGGAUUCAAUUCUUGUGAGAUACUGGGUUCAAUUCUCAGCUAUCAUA
rnacentral:tRNA from 1 species